GGAAUGUGAUCGAAAAGUUAGAAAAAUAGCCGUUACCUCUUCCCAGGAGCUCGCAGCCAGCAAAGGUCCUUCCCUUCCGAGGGGAAGAGAAUUUCAACGCGGGAUUCGGCAGCCUCCUUGCGGCCCGGAAGACCGAAUAACUCAGGCAGCCCGAGCUCUAGUCGCCACCACUGCCGCCAUCACAGCAGCAGCAGCAGCAGCAGCAUCCUCAUCCACAUCCGCAUUUUUAGCUGCCACACC
rnacentral:lncRNA from 1 species